UAAUCAUACCUGUUUCCACUCUUCAAGUUGCUGUCAUAUAAAACCUGCAAUAGAGUCAAGUAUCCCAUCAGAGUAGAUGCAAGCUGACUGCGGGAACAGGGCAGUGCACACAAACACUUGAGUCUCACUGCAUGGCACGGGCCCGUCUAGAGCUCACAGAUCUCUGCCUUCCCGAGAGAUUGGAUUAAAGGCUUGUGAUGCCACACCAGACUCUAGAAUCUCAACCUGUCAAAUAAGUGUCAUGUAGGAACCUGAAAGGGCCGCACGGAACAUCAAGCUCUCUCUGGGUCAGUGACGGAAUCACCAACGGGCUUCAUGUGGAUCCCCAGGAAGUGCCUAUCUAAUGGGCAAGUGCCUCUGGUAAACUCCUAGAGCUGUUUAUUC